UACGGAGGGUGCAAGCGUUAUCCGGAUUCACUGGGUUUAAAGGGCGCGUAGGCGGAUUAGAAAGUCCGUUGGGAAAUCUCUGAGCUUAACUCGGAAAUUGCGGUGGAUACUAUUAGUCUUGAAUACUGUGGAGGUUAGCGGAAUAUGUCAUGUAGCGGUGAAAUGCAUAGAUAUGACAUAGCACACCAAUUGCGAAGGCAGCUGGCUACAAAGAUAUUGACGCUGAGGCAAGAAAGCGUGGGGAUCAAACAGG
rnacentral:rRNA from 1 species